AUGGAAAAUCCUCCCACAAAGCGUCGUACGACCAAACCUCGUCCCAAAUCCACCAUGCAAAAUGCAACCCCUAACCCCUCUCGUCUCUCAAAUCUCCUCAUUCAUUCAAGUGAUUCUGGCAAAAAUCCUAACCCACAUUCAACUGCUGAAAGCAGAAACACACAAACCACCAACAUUUAUUCAUCUUCAUUUAGCGAAGUUACUGCCCUAGUCUCCAUUUCGUUUCAAGAAUUCGACACUCCAUCUAACCUCUCUGAUGAAAACUUCAUCUCUGAUCCUGCCAUUUGA